CCUACGGGGGGCAGCAGUGGGGGAUAUUGCACAAUGGGGGCAACCCUGAUGUAGCGACGCCGCGUGAGCGAUGGAGUAUUUCGGUAUGUAAAGCUCUGUCAGCAGGGAAGAGAAUGACGGUACCUGACCAAGAAGCCCCGGCUAAAUACGUGCCAGCAGCCGCGGUAAUACGUAUGGGGCAAGCGUUAUCCGGAUUUACUGGGUGUAAAGGGAGCGUAGGCGGCAGGGCAAGCCUGAUGUGAAAACCCAGGGCUCAACCCUGGGAC
rnacentral:rRNA from 1 species